rnacentral:rRNA from 1 species
AGUGAACGCUGGCGGUAGGCCUAACACAUGCAAGUCGAACGGCAGCACAGUAAGAGCUUGCUCUUACGGGUGGCGAGUGGCGGACGGGUGAGGAAUACAUCGGAAUCUACUUUUUCGUGGGGGAUAACGUAGGGAAACUUACGCUAAUACCGCAUACGACCUACGGGUGAAAGCAGGGGAUCUUCGGACCUUGCGCGAUUGAAUGAGCCGAUGUCGGAUUAGCUAGUUGGCGGGGUAAAGGCCCACCAAGGCGACGAUCCGUAGCUGGUCUGAGAGGAUGAUCAGCCACACUGGAACUGAGACACGGUCCAGACUGCUACGGGAGGCAGCAGUGGGGAAUAUUGGACAAUGGACGCAAGCCUGAUCCAGCCAUACCGCGUGGGUGAAGAAGGCCUUCGGGUUGUAAAGCCCUUUUGUUGGGAAAGAAAAGCAGCAGGUUAAUACCCCGCUGUUCUGACGGUACCCAAAGAAUAAGCACCGGCUAACUUCGUG